rnacentral:tRNA from 1 species
CGGGCUGUAGCGCAGUUUGGUCAGCGCACCGCGUUUGGGACGCGGGGGUCGCGGGUUCGAAUCCCGCCAGCCCGA